ACUCCUACGGGAGGCAGCAGUGGGGAAUCUUGCGCAAUGGGGGGGAACCCUGACGCAGCGACGCCGCGUGCGGGACGGAGGCCUUCGGGUCGUAAACCGCUUUCAGCAGGGAAGAGUCAAGACUGUACCUGCAGAAGAAGCCCCGGCUAACUACGUGCCAGCAGCCGCGGUAAUG
rnacentral:rRNA from 1 species